AUGAACGCUGGCGGCGUGCCUAAUACAUGCAAGUCGAGCGAACAGACGAGGAGCUUGCUCCUCUGACGUUAGCGGCGGACGGGUUAGUAACACGUGGAUAACCUACCUAUAAGACUGGGAUAACUUCGGGAAACCGGAGCUAAUACCGGAUAAUAUAUUGAACCGCAUGGUUCAAUAGUGAAAGACGGUUUUGCUGUCACUUAUAGAUGGAUCCGCGCCGCAUUAGCUAGUUGGUAAGGUAACGGCUUACCAAGGCGACGAUGCGUAGCCGACCUGAGAGGGUGAUCGGCCACACUGGAACUGAGACACGGUCCAGACUCCUACGGGAGGCAGCAGUAGGGAAUCUUCCGCAAUGGGCGAAAGCCUGACGGAGCAACGCCGCGGGAGUGAUGAAGGUCUUCGGAUCGUAAAACUCUGUUAUUAGGGAAGAACAAAUGUGUAAGUAACUAUGCACGUCUUGACGGUACCUAAUCAGAAAGCCACGGCUAACUACGUG
rnacentral:rRNA from 1 species